rnacentral:rRNA from 1 species
GAUAGGUCAUUCAACAUUCUGCCCUAUCAGCUUUCGAUGGUUCUGUAGUGGAGAACCAUGGCAUUAACGGGUAACGGAGAAUCAGGGUUCGAUUCCGGAGAGGGAGCCUGAGAAACGGCUACCACAUCUAAGGAAGGCAGCAGGCGCGCAAAUUACCCAAUCCUGACUCAGGGAGGUAGUGACAAAAAAUAACAAUACCGGAUCCUUUUGGGUCUGGUAAUUGGAAUGAGAACAAGUUAAACUUAUUAUCGAGGAUCGAUUGGAGGGCAAGUCUGGUGCCAGCAGCCGCGGUAAUACCAGCUCCAAUAGCGUAUAUUAAAGUUGUUGCAGUUAAAAAGCUCGUAGUUGUAUUUGAGCGUGUGAUAUUUCGUUGGUCUGCAUUCAAAAGAGUGUAGUGACCCGUUUAUCUUCGCAAUUAACCAUUGGGUCGUGCCUGGUCUUGAUUGACUUGGGCGCGUUUACUCUCGAUGGAUCUUUUACUGUGAGAAAAGUAGAGUGUUCAAGGCAGGCGUGUUUUGCAAUUGAAUAUGUUAGCAUGGAAUAAUAAGAUAGGACUUUCGGAUC